AACCCACACGUACCACAACCACACGACAACCACAACCACACCACGUGGUCGGGUGUAUAUUUCGUAUUGUAAAUGAAGUGGACCAUUCACACGUACCACAUUUUGCAGUCGUUGUCGACCACUUGUGAGAUAACUUGUCAGACGCAACCACGGCCGACCACAUCGCAACCACAUCGCAACCACUUAAAGUUAACAUACCUAUC